AUUGAACGCUGGCGGCAUGCCUUACACAUGCAAGUCGAACGGCAGCACGGGAGCAAUCCUGGUGGCGAGUGGCGAACGGGUGAGUAAUAUAUCGGAACGUGCCCAGUCGUGGGGGAUAACGUAGCGAAAGCUACGCUAAUACCGCAUACGAUCUACGGAUGAAAGCGGGGGAUCGCAAGACCUCGCGCGAUUGGAGCGGCCGAUAUCAGAUUAGCUAGUUGGUGGGGUAAAAGCUCACCAAGGCGACGAUCUGUAGCUGGUCUGAGAGGACGACCAGCCACACUGGAACUGAGACACGGUCCAGACUCCUACGGGAGGCAGCAGUGGGGAAUUUUGGACAAUGGGCGCAAGCCUGAUCCAGCAAUGCCGCGUGCAGGAUGAAGGCCUUCGGUGUAACUGCUUUGUACGUACGAACGGUAGAGUCUAAUAAGACUUGCUAAUGACGGUACCGUAAGAAUAAGCACCGGCUAACUACGUGCC
rnacentral:rRNA from 1 species